GGGGAAUUUUGCGCAAUGGGCGAAAGCCUGACGCAGCAACGCCGCGUGAGGGAUGAAGGCCUUCGGGUCGUAAACCUCUGUCAGAGGGGAAGAACCGCCGGCAGGAUAAUACCCUGUUGGCCUGACGGUACCCUCAAAGGAAGCACCGGCUAACUCCGUGCCAGCAGCCGCGGUAAUACGGAGGGUGCAAGCGUUGUUCGGAAUUAUUGGGCGUAAAGCGCGUGCAGGCGGCCAUUUAAGUCUGAUGUGAAAGCCCCGGGCUCAACCUGGGAAGUGCAUCGGAUACUGGGUGGCUUGAGUACGGGAGAGGGAAGCGGAAUUCCGAGUGUAGGGGUGAAAUCCGUAGAUAUUCGGAGGAACACCAGUGGCGAAGGCGGCUUCCUGGACCGAUACUGACGCUGAGACGCGAAAGCGUGGGGAGCAAAC
rnacentral:rRNA from 1 species